rnacentral:lncRNA from 1 species
GUCCGCACUCACCGCUCCGGGCCCCGCGCCUCGCAGCUCCAGUCGGAAACGCCCGGGUCUUUCGGGAUCCGCGCUCAGCUGCAGCCUCCGCAGCUGCGCCUCUGCGUUGGGCCCGGCGCCCAGCGGUCUCACCGCGGCGUGCACAGCCAGGAGCACUGCGGCUGAGCCCGGGUCUGCGGCCACCGCCCCGCCCGCCGGCGGCGCCAUCUCCUGUCCCGGCGGGUCAAGGUCUUCCGAGCCGACUUCCGUGAGAUCGCGCUGCGGAGCGCCUCCGCCGGCCAGAAACUCAAAUCGUGAGCCUGGGUUCCGGGGGCGGCAGAUCGUCAGGGCCCAGGAGGGAUGCAGGGCAGCGCUGCUGCGGAGCCUGAUCGGCCUGCCGUGCCGAGGGAUGGACACGGCCCGAGGGCCUCCGGACACCUCCGGCCGCGGGCGUCACGUUUGAGCCGGGUCUCGGGGCCAAAGUGUCAGGCUUUUGAAGCGCGGCCUGGGGCGGGCUUUUGGCCUCAAAAGCUCGGGUGAGGGUAGGCUACAGCCUGUCCCGAAACGUUCUUCAGAGACAGGAUGGAGAAGGGAGGCAAGUCCGCGGCACUUCCCAGUAGCCCGGGUCAGCGGACCACCGCCCCGAGUAACCUCAGCCCCGCCACGCCCACACUGCGCGCUCCGCGGGCCCGCGCCGCUCAAGGAACCAGGGCGGACCCCUGGGGCGGGGCAGGCGGGCUCCUGACCAAUGAGCGCCGGGGAGGAGGUGGGUUAGUACGAGGGACGGUGACAGACAGGCCCCACGGCCAGCAGGAGUGGAAAUCAGGACUGAGCGGCAGGGACCGCCCCCAAUGGCUAGUUGCGCUCCCGAUCUCCGAAGCUGGAGCGGGCCACUCAGAGGCGUGGGGCCGGGCCUGGCGGACGCUUGUUGUUGUCCGGAGGCGGAGGUCGCAGGUUCGCUCGCUCGCUGGGUCGAUCUGUGGCGGUCGACAGCAGGUCGGUCGCGAGAGCGGGCGCUGUGCAGGGGGGCGAGGCUAUGUCGCGGUGGCAACCCGGAUGGGCCGGCAGGGCCGGGAGUAACGGGACGUCGCCGCGGAGCUUCUCCCAGAUACAGUGCGACCCGAGUGGAGGCCGCGGCGCCGCUUUCCGCCCCUGAGGAGGCCGCACCGCGCGGAGUCCGCCUUGCUUUCGCCCCGGUACCGACGCAAAGCGACCAGACCGGUCCGGCCCGAUCUGCCAGGCCCAUACAGGUGGGUGUCUGUCCUGUGCCCCGUGCCGUCCGGGGCCGCCGGAACCACAGCUCCCGGCGGGCCUGGCGCGGGCGCGCUGCCUCCUGGGACUUGUAGUUCCGCCACGGCUUGGCAGAUGCCCCGCACCCGACGCGCUGCCUCCUGGGACUUGUAGUUCUGCCGCGGCCUGGCAGGUUCCCCCUCGCGCGACCAGGCGAACGAUGCAGCUUGCUGGUUAGGCAGUAGCAACUCGCUCCGCUCCUUGUUACCGGAAGAGAUCAGGCGUACUUGCAGAGCAUAACGGUGGAGCCUAUAGGUUUCCUCUCCUUGCCAAAAAGCAGACACUAGAAUAGGGGCAGAGCCCCAGGAUGGAGGGGAGCCCAGCCCAGCCUGAAGACUACUACAGGAGUCAUACCCCUUCGCAGGCUAAAGUGAUCCUCGUAUUCGUUGGGCACUCUUCCUCUGGAUGGGAAAGGGAAGCCUUGAAUACCGUAUUCGUUUAGCCCCAGGGUGAGCAGGAUGGGGUAGGUCCCCCAGCCUGGCCCCAGAAGCCUGUGUUAUACAGGGGGGUGUGGCUGAGCUGGAUCUUGGACUUGCUGCUUUGGUAUGACAGGAUCUCAUCUCUCAGCCCGUCCUUAGUGUUUGGGAGCAGGUCAGAGGAGAGAGAAGGCCUGUGCAAACCCUGGGCAAAGGCUAGACCCAGUUGUGUACAGAGCUCUGGAGUAGGGGGACUGAAGGUAGAGCCCCAUAUGAGCAGAUACCCAUGACCUGGCUUCCCAUAUCCUUAGGCAGCACUAGCCCUUCUGGAGCAAGGAGUCUUUUCCCCAAGGACAUGAAGCUGUUGGAGAACUCGAGCUUUGAGGCCAUCAACUCACAACUGACAGUAGAGACUGGAGAUGCCCACAUCAUUGGCAGGUGAGGCUGGAAGCUCUGGGGGCCAGCAUCUCAGAGGUCACUGCCCUGGCCCCUGAGUUGAAACUUGAAGCGACAGAAUGCUCCAUGUUCCUGCCUGCAUCCCAUAGGAUUGAGAGCUACUCGUGUAAGAUGGCAGGAGAUGACAAACACAUGUUCAAGCAGUUUUGCCAGGAGGGUCAGCCCCAUGUGCUGGAGGCACUAUCCCCACCCCAGACUUCGGGCCUCAGCCCCAGCAGGUGAGCUGAGAUAGGACCUGCCUCUUUGGGUCUGUGGGAUGGCAGUCUAGGCUGAUGUUUGUCUCUGUGCAGACUGAGCAAAAGCCAGGGUGGUGAAGAUGAGGGUCCUCUCAGUGACAAGUGCAGUCGCAAGACCCUCUUCUAUCUGAUUGCCACACUCAAUGAGUCCUUCAGGCCAGACUAUGACUUCAGCACAGCCCGAAGCCACGAAUUCAGCCGGGAGCCCAGCCUGAGCUGGGUGAGGACUGGGAGGGAGCCCCACCCACAGCCAUUCCCACUGCCUUCCCACUGCCUUCCCCACAUCAGCCUGGGCUCUGCCUUGUUUGGUCCUGGACCCUGCCCUGGACCCCUAUCAGCCCCAGUGUGUCCUGCCCUAGGUGGUGAAUGCAGUCAACUGCAGCCUGUUCUCAGCUGUGCGGGAAGACUUCAAGGCCCUCAAGCCGCAGCUGUGGGACGCAGUGGAUGAGGAGAUCUGUCUAGCUGAAUGUGACAUCUACAGGUGGGCCUGUAUCUUCACAGGUAGACCCCUAGGUAUAUGUGACACGGAGAGUCUCAUACUAUGUCUUGGCCUACUCUGCAGCUAUAACCCAGACCUAGACUCGGACCCCUUUGGGGAAGAUGGCAGCCUCUGGUCUUUCAAUUAUUUCUUCUACAACAAGCGGCUCAAGCGAAUUGUCUUCUUCAGCUGCCGCUCCAUCAGGUUGGUGCUGCCAGUCUCCCUUCCUCCAGUUCCUAUUGGGCCUCACCAUCUCCUCAGGUUGCCCAUCUGUUCUCAACUUUGUGCUGCCUGGACAUCCUCCCUGGGCCAUCAGCAGGCCUGGGGCAGAUGGUCCUAAGAUUGUUUCCCCACUUCCCACCCAGUGGUUCCACUUACACACCCUCAGAAGCAGGCAAUGAGCUGGACAUGGAACUGGGGGAGGAAGAAGUGGAGGAAGAGAGUGGAGGCGGAGGCAGUGAGGGCAGGGCUGAAGAGACCAGCACCAUGGAGGAGGACAGGUAUGUGAUGGUGGUGGUGGUCCCAGUCCUUGGAGCCUCUAGUGCCUGGGCCAGGUCAGGGUCUCUUCUGCCUUGUCUCCUGAGUGGUGGCUCCUCAAACUCAUUGUAUGUCAACCUUUGCCCAGGGUCCCUGUGAUCUGUAUGUGAUGAGGAGAAGCAGAGGCCCCAGCUUCAUCCAGCUUCAACCAGUGCCUGGACCUACCCACCUGAGGGGCCCAGGGCCUCCCCAGCUGCUGGCCAUACCCUGGCACUAUCACUGUCCUGGCGCUGCCCAAGGCCAAAUCUGCCUAGCCCUUUGGCUCCAGCCUGUGGAUGUGCACUCAUCCUCGAAGGCUCCUACUGCCCAUGCUGUGACUGGACUAGACAGCACGGGGCCUGCUGGAAAGAGUGACUGCCCUGCCCAAGCAGACUGCCACAGCAGGGACAGCUGGACCACAGAGUUUAUUUUUGUAUUUCAUACUGGGUCUGUACACUCCUGGCCUGAGACCCAGCAAGCAGGCUCCUGUCUUGAGCCAGUGGCCCCUGGUGCCUACCUGUUCCCCCCACCUCUCCAGGUGGGCUGUGUGCACUGAGUGUCACCUUGCUGCAGCUCAUUUGUUUCCAAUAAAAGUUUCUGUGACUCUGGACCUCAGUGCGUCGUGUGGGCGGGGCCUGCAUUGUGGGCGGGGCCUGCCAUUCAUAUCCUAGCAACCGAUGCUGCCCGACCCGCCAGGAAAACGGUUAGUUUCCCAGAGCUGUUGGUCAUCUGGACACACAGCUGUGAAAAUGGAGGCUAACAUGUUGGACACAAGCAAGCCCUUAUCAUCAGAAGGCGAUAACUUGCUUCUGGACUCAGACCUGUAUGAUGCAGACGGCUUUGACAACCCAGACCCUGGGCUGCUGUCAGAAAAGAAUGGUGAGGGGGAUUGGCCUUACCCCCUAGGCACCCGGCCAGAAACAGAACUCAUUUGGACUAGGUUCUGGGAACACAACUCCUCUGGGCAGUAACUGAUUCAACCGGGCACUUGGAGAAGGGCACUCCAGGGUGGGGCCCAAGGCCACAGGUAACAGCACUCCCUCCAUUGGCCCGCAGAGCUGUGUUCCCUGGAGCAGUCGCAGGGCCUGCAGCUUUUCACCAGCACCCAGCAGUGGCAAAACGUGCCCCUGUGUACCCGCGCCCACCAGCUGUGGCUGCUCAUUCGUACUGGCCUCCAUAAUGUUGUGGAAAAGGUGUGAUUUGGCCCAGCAUCUGCCACUGGUCUCUUCCCAGUCCAGCCCUUCCCCUGGGGGUCCUCUGCACCAGCUCCAUUGGAUCCCUCGAGUUUCCCUCUGCAGAAGAGCCCAGCCCCCACCCCUAACUGCAGAUCCUGCCCACCCUGGCCCGCAGGAAAAGAGAGCUGAGCUGCGCGUUGCUCGCUUGACACAUGGGCUGGAGCCACUGCGCCGCCUGGAGGUGCCAGCUGGGCUGCGAUCCGUGGCACAAGACCCAGUGGGAGGACAUUUCGUGGUGCUGGAUGGGGCAGGUUGCCUGCACCUGCAUAAAAAGGAUGGCUGGGCUCAGGAGACGCUGCUGGCCCCUGUGGCACUUACUGGUCUGGUAGCUGUGCUGGGCCCUCUGGGAGCGGUGGGUCGCUUUGUAGGCUGGGGCCCCACAGUGCUGGCCAUACUAAGGCCAGACCUCAGCCUGCUGUGGUUGAGCCCGCCAGAGGUGGGUAGGGUGCUAGGCCGUGAGCCCACUUGCUGCCUGCCGGUGCCCAACCUGGGGCUGCUGCUUGUGGCUGAGGUGGGCGGCAGCCUGGCUCUCUUCAAGUUCCGCUCAGGUGGUCGCCGCCUGGUGCUGCGUGGCUUACCCCUGCAGCCACCACCAGGCCUGGCCGGCACACUCAAGCGUCUGGCUCUGGGGCCAGGGUCUACCCACCAAGACACACACUGCUUCGCAGCCUACGGCUCAGCUGUGCUCACCUUCGAUCUACAAGCCUGGAAUCUCACAGAUGUGCGCCAAAAUCUGCACAAAACGUGAGGCGGGGCUGGGGACUGGAAGACAAGGUGGUCCCCUAGAGAGAGCUGGUCAUGGCAGGGGUGCAGACUGCAACACACUAGGCAGUGCUGAGUCCACGGGGCCUCCCCAUUCUCUCUAAUCCCCAGCAUCAUCUCUGACCUGGCCUACUUCGAGGAGGCAAAGGCCAUGGUGACGUCUUCCCAAGACAGUACGGUGAAGGUGUGGGAGGUUAACUGGCAGAUCCGCAUGGUGUUCGUGGGUCACACAGGUGCGCUGCUCCCAAGAUGCUCUUGUAGUGUAUUCUCUCUGCACCCGGAGCUCGGCCCUCUGCCUUUGAGCUCUGAGCUGUUGGAGAUUUCUGCUGGGUCUGACCAAGAUUCUCUGCGUUGGCUGCAUCCCGGGCCAACAGCUCCCUUCCCUCAUUCCCUGGUGUGCCUGAGAUGUGCGCUCCCGCAGGCCCGGUGACAGCAAUGGUCAUUCUCCCGAACACCACCCGAGUGUCUUCCGCCUCUCAGGAUGGAACGUUGCGCACGUGGGACCUGCAGGCGGCGGCGCAGGUGGGAGAGGUGGCGCUGUGCUCCUGGGGCCAGGACUUGCUGUCCGCGCGCGUGAGCCGUUUGCUGGCACCUGCGGCCCGGGGCUGGCCGGUGCUCUCUCUGUGCGCGAGCAGCGUGGAGCUUUGGCGCCUGAGCGAGCUCUACUCGCCGUUGGCGCAGCUGCCCGCGCCCGUGCUCUACCUCCAGGUGGCGCCUGCGCUACCAGCGCCCGUGAACCCAUCUCUGCCCGCGCGCCUCGUAUGCGCUUGUGUGGAUGGCUCCGUCUACCUGGUGUCAGCUGCAACAGGGAGAACAGUGAGCGCACUGCUGCUCGAGGCCGAGGACUGCGCGGUUGCGGUGGCCUACUGCCUUCCGCGCGAGGCCCUGUGGCUGCUGACGCGCACAGGACACCUGGUGCGCGCCAACGCAGCAUGCUGCCCCAUGAGCGUGCUGCAUCGUGUGUGCCCGCCACCGCCCCCGGCGCCACAGCCCUGUUGCUUGCACUUGUACAGCCACCUCACAGACCCCGGUAGCGCGUUAGUCUGCUGGGAGAUCGUGCGCCAGAACAAGGGCGAUCUGCGCCGCAGCGCCAUGGCCUGGGCUUGGAAGAACAAGAACCGGUGGGCGCCGGAGCCAGCGAGAUCCAGACGGGAGGGGAGCGGUGACUGAGCUCAUACCAACAGGCUCCGUCACCACCCGCAGGUACCUGCCAGUGAUAGGGCAUACAGACGGCGCACUCUCGGUGCUUGAUUGGCUCUCCUCGAAAACUGUGUUCCAUACAGAGGCGCACAGCCCAGGCCCUGUUACCGCCAUUGCGUCCACCUGGAACAGCAUCGUUUCUUCGGGUUAGUACCUCCACUUCCUGAAGCCGGCUCGGGAGCCCCUGCCUUUCCGGGCAGCUCAGCCUUGCUCCCGCUGUCCCACAGGUGGAGAUCUGACCGUGAAGAUGUGGCGUGUCUUCCCCUAUGCAGAGGAGAGCCUGAGCCUGCUGCGCACCUUCUCCUGCUGCCACCCAGUUGUGGUGCUUUGUGCUCUGGGUAAACGCAUCACUGUAGGCUUUGAGGACCCAAAUAGUGCCACCUAUGGCCUGGUGCAGUUUGGCUUGGGUGAGGGCCGGCGCUGUGACCACCGGCCCCAGGAUGAUCCCAUGGACCACAUCACUGGUGAGGGGACAGAACAAAAAGGCAAAGCCUGGGCCUCCAUGUUAGUCUGGUCCUGACCUAACCUUGUCUCCAGGCUUGUGCUGCUGCCCCACACUCAAGCUGUAUGCCUGCUCCAGCCUGGACUGCACCAUCCGCAUCUGGACCUCUGAGAACCGCCUUCUGCGGUGGGCUGGGGCCCUGGGGAGGGGAUUGGGGCCUGGGGUAUAGCCACUGGGCUCUCCAAACCUCUGCCUCCCACCACAGCCCAAUGGCUAGGGAGUGGAAUGACACAGGGCCUUGCCCCUGAUACUGCCUCAGUUUCCCUCUCUGAAGCAGGAGUGGUCCUCUGGGUACCCCUGCAGGCUCCUGCAGCUGGACGGUUCCCCUCAGGCCCUGGCCUUCUCCAGCAACAGUGGAGACCUGGUGCUGGCACUGGGUUCCCGUCUCUGCCUAGUCUCCCACAGGCUCUAUCUGCCCACAGCCUACCUAGUUAAGGUAUGCAGUGAGGUCAGGAUGGGCAAAGUGGGGCUGCUGCGUGAGGACAGGCCCUGAGGAUCAGGGAUCCAAGCUUCUCUUGCUUGCCCAGAACCUGUGCCAGAAGGCUCCUGACGUGGUGGAUGACCCUCCAUUGCCACUGACCAGCCACGAGUCACUGACCUCCAUCCAGAUGCAAAGGCUCACCAACCUGCAUGGGGCAUUCAGUCUCAAGUCUUCUGGCAGGUCUCAGCUGUCCUUGAGACUCCCAUUUAGCCCCUGGGGUCAGGGCCUGACUGUGUGCCCCCUGCAUGAGGACUCAGGACUCCUGGACUGCUCAGAGGCUGCCACAUCCGUCCCAGCCCUGCCAUUCCCUCUCCUGGCUGGUCCUUGUCCUGCUUUCUGCCCUGUCCUCCUGGACUGUAUCGCACCUGUGCUUUUCCCUUUCUGCAGCCCAGCCCUGCUCUCCACCCGUCGCCAGACAGCAACACCCCAGCAGCUAGUGAUGAAGGAGGUGGGGUGGAUACUGACCUUCUUGCCACCCCACUGCCUAGCCCUGUCCCUGCUCAGGCUCAGGCCAUUGCCCCUUGGUCCCUACGGCUGGCUUGGACACCUGUGGUUAUGUGGGCAGCACAUGGCUUCCAAGGAAGCAAACCUGACCUCUGACCCCCACCUCUCAGGACUUGGAGGCCAUAAUGGCCCGUGACCAAGACCUUCAGGAGUUGAGGCUGGGACAGGUCAUCCCAGCAGCCCGGCCCCCACCCUCCUGGAAGCAGCGCCAGGAAGCCUUUGACAAUUACCUACGUUUGAUCUAUGGCCCUGGACUAUUGGUGGGUGUGAGGCCAUCCUCCAGCCUCUGCCCUGACCCUGGCAAAUCCUCUCACCCCAGACCUGACACUGCCACUGUUCCCACCUGUCUCAGGACAUGCAGUUCAAAAGGGAGCCCCAGCAGGGGAGCAUCAUGACCCUCACCACAGAAAGAGAGCUCCAAGACAAGACAUGUGUACCCUGUCCAGAACUGCCUCCUGCUUUGGGCAGGCUACCAUCAGCAGUGAGGCCCAGACAGUACCCAAAGCCCUUCUCCACCCCCAGACCCCAGGGGCCCCAGGCCAGCGUUUUGCCCCCCCCCCCAAGUGAUCUUGCCCAUUCCACCCACCACCAGAAGGUCCACAGCAAAGUGUCCAAGGUGGAGCCUGCCUCCCCUCCCACCCCCUUCCUGACAUCAUGGCUGAAUCCCCCUGACUCCUUGGCUGCCUCAGCUUCUUGCCUGCUCUUCCCUGAGCUGUGACUUGGGCCUCAGUCUGGAUCUGCAGAUGCAGUUGGAGCAGCUCAGAGAGGAGAUGACCAUGGCCUUGGACCCACCGUCCUCCCUCCCACAGCACAGGUGAGGUAAACUUAGCAGCUGGGAUGCCACCUACUCAAGAGCAGUACUUGAGGGGCUCUAGGGGCUGUGCUCAACUCUUGAGUCUCUGUCCCAUCUCCAGGUCCCACUUUGGCUGCAGAAACAGCCCAAGGAUCCUCUCUCAAAUCUCAAGGGCUUCUUUCCUGCCACUGUGCAGUCCCACAAGGUGAGGCUUUCUGGGUUCCCAGAGAGGCACCCCCCCUAGGGUUACUCUUCUUGUGUACCCUAUCUCCCCUUUGCUGCAAACCUCUUGUGUCCAAAUUGGAUCUAAGGGCCAUGGCUGCCUGUAGCUCAGAGGCCAGCUCCAGAGUCCCCCGCCCUGCCCGCCCCCGCCUCCUUUCCUGGAGUUAUGGUGUGGUGGUGUCUGUGGGCAGGAGCACCUUGUUGCCUACGAGGCCUGAGUCUGAGCCAGAGAUCCCCUGCCAUUGAAUCUCCGGCACACCCCUCUCCUCAGUGGGAACACUCUGUAGGUGGGUCACCAGUGGGCUUAUCCUGCAAGACCAGAGUCCCCACCUUUCAGGGAAGCAAAGUCAAGGGGAGCUAGCCCUUCAAGAUCCCAUACUUGGGCUGGGGUUGUGGCUCAGUGGCAGAGUGCUUGCCUAGCAUGGGUGAGGCACUGGGUUCGAUCCUCAGCACCACAUAAAAAACAAAAUGAAAAAUAAAGGUUAAAUUCUUUUUUUUUCUCAAAAAUUUGUUUUGUAUUUUUGUCAAUGGGCCUUAAUUCUAUUUAUUUAUAUGCAAUGCUGAGAUUUGAACCCAGGGCCUCACACAUGCCAGGCAAAUGCUCUACUACCGAGCCACAACUCCAACCCCAAAGUUAAAUUAUUUUUUUUUCUUUUUUUCUUGUAUGUGGUGCUGAGGAUCGAACUCAGUACCUCACAUGUGCAAGGCAAGUGCUCUGCCACUGAGCCACAGCCCCAGCUCUCAAGGUUAAAUUCUUAAAAAAAUAAAAUAAAAUCCCACCCUUGCUCCCAGUGGGUGCCCAGGCAGGCCCAGCCCCUUGCUUAGCACAUGCUGGCUCCCAUCUAGGCAUGCCAUUUUGUCCUUCCAGCUUUGUAGCAUAUUGACUCAAGUUCUCCACUGAACUCUCUCUAGUUACUUCCUUUCUGUCCUGCCCCCUACCCCCAGGCUUCCCUGUUUCAGGGUUUGAGACCAAGUGCCAAGAAGAACGUGUGGGGGUUGGGGCUUUCCAAAGGCCUUCUGUCCCCCAGAUUUCCCUCAUCUUCCAGUUAAUGUCCAUGGACCACUCCUCCUUCGGCACCCCAGACUUUCCCCUCACCUGUAUGUUAAGAGCAUGGGCUGCCUGUCCAGUCUGAUGGAGGCCUGGCAGGCAGAACUGGGCCCAUGUCUUGGGACUCUACAUGAUCAUGGGUGUGACCCAGGGUGGUAUCCCAGUUGGGGUGGCUUCAAGUUCUCAGCCACCCUGCUGUGCUCUGCCUCCAGUACUGCCCACGACCCAUUAGUUUCCCUGGCUGUGUGCCCAACUCCGUGGUGCUUCAGCAGAUGUGGCCGUCCACAGAGAUCAGCUAUCUUAGACCUCUGACCACGCUCACCUCCUAUACUGAGAACAGACUCAAGGCAAGAGGCAGAGCUGGGGGGCUCAGGGAGGGCUCCACUGUCCCCACCGUCUGCCAGAUGCCCCCUCUUGUGCCCUCUCCUCUAUAGCCAGAUGCAAGCCUGGAUGACCUAUGGCUACAGCGCCACAGGUGGUCCAAGUGGCACAGUAGGCUGAUGCAGUGGCUUCAUGGGAAGUCUGAGGAGGAAGAGGAAGAAGAGGAGGAGGAGGAGAAGGAACUGAAAAUAGACUGGAUCUCAGCUUCUCUGAGUUCACCCAGGAUGUAUUCUGACCAACAGUUAGAUUACUGGGAGGCAGAGGCUGGGGUAUGCAUCCCAGGCUGCCACAGGCAGGGUGGGCUCAGUGCCCAAAACCCAGAGAAGUGGGACUGAAGUUGCUGUCACUUCCCCUAGAGCGCCAUGGACUUGAUUGGCGAGUCCCAGAGCUUCCAUGAGGCCCCCAGGACCAAAAUCUACUUUGGCUCCCAGUACCACCAGGGGCAUUCACUCUGGGAAGAGCGCUAUGGGCAUCUGCCCAGGUUCCUGCACUCUUUCGUCAUCCAGAACUGGUUCAAAAAGCUGUUCCCCAUCUUCACCCUGGAGGUGUGGGGGGGCCUGGGAAGCUGGGAAACGUGGCCUGGGAUGGGGUGUGGGGAGAAAGCAGGAGCCUGCCUGAAUGUGAAACAGGGAGCAGGGUCUCAGCCUACCGUUCUGUAGGCCUACCCUGAGAUGGGCACAGUGGAGGGCCUGGCCUCCAUGUUGGUGGACCUGCUGGCAGAGGCCAUCUGGGAAGACCGUGUGCAUAUCCUAAAUGCACUGCUGAGACUGCUGCCUGAUGUGAGCAGUGACCUCCACAGUCGGCUGCAGAGCAACCUCUUGCACUUGCUCAACUUGGACAACCCCCCCAGCCUCCAGGUGGGUUCCUUGACACCCUCCACCCCCACCGUGUUUCUCCCACCAACCAUUGUCCCCACCUGUGCACAGGACCACAUUCAGAAGCAGUUUGUGAUGCUGGCACUGCAGCUGCUGCUGGCCUGCUCCCUGGAUUCCCG